rnacentral:rRNA from 1 species
GCAUAUCAAUAAGCGGAGGAAAAGAAACCAACAGGGAUUGCCUCAGUAACGGCGAGUGAAGCGGCAAAAGCUCAAAUUUGAAAUCCUUCGGGAGUUGUAAUUUGUAGGUUGGGAGACCCCGCGGCUAGUGGCACCAAGUCCCUUGGAACAGGGCGCCUUAGAGGGUGAGAGCCCCGUAGGUACCACAACACCGUCUUGUGUCUCCUCUCCAAAGAGUCGAGUUGUUUGGGAAUGCAGCUCAAAGUGGGUGGUAAAUUCCAUCUAAAGCUAAAUACCGGCGAGAGACCGAUAGCGAACAAGUACAGUGAUGGAAAGAUGAAAAGCACUUUGAAAAGAGAGUGAAACAGUACGUGAAAUUGUUGAAAGGGAAGGGCUUGCAAGCAGACACGGCCUUCGUGCCGGGCCAGCAUCGGUUGCUAGGGGUGGAUAAGGAACAAGGAAUGUAGCUCCUCGGAGUAUUAUAGCCUUGCGCGAUACACCCACUGGCGACCGAGGCCUGCGGUAUUCUUUACCUAGGAUGCUGGCGUAAUGGUUGCAAGCCGCCCGUCUUGAAA